CCUACGGGAGGCAGCAGUGGGGAAUAUUGCACAAUGGGGGAAACCCUGAUGCAGCAACGCCGCGUGAGUGAAGAAGUAUUUCGGUAUGUAAAGCUCUAUCAGCAGGGAAGAAGAAAGACGGUACUUGACUAAGAAGCCCCGGCUAAAUACGUGCCAGCAGCCGCGGUAAUAAGUAGGGGGCAAGCGUUAUCCGGAUUUACUGGGUGUAAAGGGAGCGUAGACGGCGGUGCAAGCCAGAUGUGAAAGCCCGGGGCUCAACCCCGGGACUGCAUUGGGAACUGUGCUGCUAGAGUGUCGGAGAGGCAGGCGGAAUUCCUAGUGUAGCGGUGAAAUGCGUAGAUAUUAGGAGGAACACCAGUGGCGAAGGCGGCCUGCUGGACGGUGACUGACGUUGAGGCUCGAAAGCGUGGGGAGCAAACAGGAUUAGAUACCCCGGUAGUC
rnacentral:rRNA from 1 species